UGGGGAAUAUUGGACAAUGGGGGCAACCCUGAUCCAGCAAUGCCGCGUGUGUGAAGAAGGCCUGCGGGUUGUAAAGCACUUUUGGCAGGGAUGAAAAGCACUGGAUUAAUAACCCAGUGUGUUGACCUAACCUGCAGAAGAAGCACCGGCUAACUCUGUGCCAGCAGCCGCGGUAAUACGUAGGGUGCAGGCGUUAAUCGGAAUUACUGGGCGUAAAGCGUGCGCAGGCGGCUCCUUAAGUCAGAUGUAAAAUCCCCGGGCUUAACCUGGGAACUGCGUUUGAAACUGAGGGGCUAGAGUGUGGAAGAGGGGGGUGGAAUUCCAGGUGUAGCAGUGAAAUGCGUAGAGAUCUGGAGGAACACCGAUGGCGAAGGCAGCCCCCUGGGCUAACACUGACGCUCAUGCACGAAAGCGUGGGGAGCAAACAGGAUUAGAUACCCUAGUAGUCCCUGAGCGGGCUGGCAAGGCGCAU
rnacentral:rRNA from 1 species